GAACCUUGUAAAGUGAUUUUUGUCCCAGACUGUGUUAGGGACAUUUUUCUCCAUAGAUUAAUAAAGAAAAUAUUUUUUCAGUCAUAUUAGUAUGCAUAGAUAAACAUAGUUUUCCUCUUCAGCAACUGGGAUUAUCCCAGCAGUAACUUCUGUCUUAUUGGCUAGGUCCAACCAGGGUUUUGUCCAGAGGAUGUGCCAGAUUAUGCUAGGAUGUUCUCUGGAGCAGCUAAAAGCACAUGUAGUUUGUGGUGAAUGCAAUUUCAGGGAACCAAGGCUUAAUCCCAGAGAUACAAUAAUAUCAGGCAUUGGACAGAGGAGCAAAGUCAGAGACAGCAGCUGAGAAGUUGAGAGCUGGCGUCAUUAGAACAGGCUGGGAAAUAUGAGUGUGAGGCAUGUCUCGGCAGGAAGGUCCAGCAUUGGCCGGGGAACAAAGCAGACUUCUUGGCAUGCCCUCUCGCUGAGGCUAUGUGAACUGCUGGGCAGGCCGGCCUGCUUAAAGAUCUCACUCCGGACAAGUAAACACCAAUACCACCAACCUGAGUAGGCCUUCCAUGAAAUACUGGGGACACUAAGAAGCCACACCCCCUGAAACAUUCUAUGGUCAUUCAGCAUUUGAAGCAAAUUGGAAAGGUGAAAAACCUGAUAAGUGGGUGCCUCAUGAGCUCACCGAAAAUUUUUUUAAAAAUUGUCGUUUUGAAGUGUCAUCUUCUCUUAUUCUAUGCAACAACAAUGAACCAUUUCUUGAUUGGAUUGUGAUGUGCGAGGAAAAGUGGAUUUUAUAUGACAACUGGCGAUGACCAGCUCAGUGGUUGGACCGAGAAGAAGCUCCAAAACACUUCCCAAAGCCAAACUUGCACCAAAAAAGGUCCUGGUCACUGCUUGGUGGGCUGCUGCUGGUCUGAUCCACUGCAGCUUUCUGAAUCCCUGGGAAACCAUUACACCUGAGAAGUAUGCUCAGCAAACCAAUGAGAUGCACCAAAAACUGCAAUGCCUGCAGCUGGCUUUGGUCAACAGGAAGGGCCCAAUUCUUCUCCACCACAAUGUCCGACUGCACAUCACAACCCACGCUUCAGAAGUUGAACAAAUUGGGCUACGAAGUUUUGCCUCAUCUCCCAUGUUCACCUGACCUCUCGCUGAGAAGUAGCUUUGGAGCUUCUUCUCGGUCCAAACACUGAGCUGGUCAUCGCCGGUUGUCAUAUAAAAUCCACUUUUCCUCGCACAUCACAAUCCAAUCAAGAAAUGGUUCAUUGUUGUUGCAUAGAAUAAGAGAAGAUGACACUUCAAAACUACCACUUCUUCAAGCAUCUCAACAACUUUUUGCAGGGAAAAUGCUUCCACAACCAGCAGGAUGCAGAAAAUGCUCUCCAAAAGUUUGUCAAAUCCUGAAGCAUGGAUUUUUAGGCUACAGGAAUAAACGUAUUUCUCACUGGCAGAAAUUUAUUGAUUGUAAUGAUUCCUUUUUUGGUUAAAGACAUGUUUGAGCCUAGUUAUAACGACUUACAAUUCACGGUCCAAAACUGCAAGUACUUUUUGCACCAGCGAGAUGUGCAUAUGAGAAGCUUAUUUCACCAAGCCUCUUAUCUAGUCAUCUGUAUAAUUAUUUCAAGCACAGGAGGGACCCUACUUCUUACUGGGGAGGAUUAAGGAAGGCUUCCUGGAGGAUUGUCUCAGAGCUUGCUGCAGGUGCAUAUUGAAAAGCAAUUCAUUACAAUUUUCUAUAAGAGACUGUGGCUGAACAAUGAUACACAGAUUAGCAAACUGAGGCUUGGAGAAGUGGAAAACUUGCCUAAGAUUAAACAGCAUUAAAGGAACAGAGGCUGGGCUUGCAACUCAGCUCUGGGACUCCAAAGUCUGCCCUUUCCAACUACAUCGUCUUGCUGAUCGCGAGCUCAGUUGAUGGUAAAGACCUGUGAUUUUGGCCAUUACAAACAGUGCUGUUGUGAAUGUUGUGCCUGCCUGUCUUCCAGCUGGACAUAGGCAACCACAUGAAGCACAGACCCAGGAGGCCUAAGCUGGCCUCGGUGUAGGAGAAGCCGGGCACAGGGAUGUUUUUGAAGAAGAAAGUGACCACUUGUCAAAGAAUUCAGGAUUGAUUCCUAACGCAGAGUGACUCAUCAAGAGACCCAGGUUCUAUUGGCCACCCCUCUUCAGCUGGUUAUUCAGGCUAGGGAAACUGUUUUUGUUUUUUAAGGGAAAGUUUAUAGAAAGUGAGAGAAGGUAGAUACGAGAUUCAAAAGACAAAGUAGAAAGAAAUGUGUGUUCUUUAAGGUAAGAGCAGGUACUUUUUAAGCAUAAUAUUGAAUUAACAUUUGGUGUAAUAUUGAAUUUAUAUAGUGUCAAUGUUGAAUUGAUGAAGGGAAAUCUGCAAGUGAAAGAGACACCAAACUGCUUUUGUGAUCGGAUAGUUUGUAUAUCUUGCUACUGAGAAUAUGUUUAAUCCUAUGCUUCAUAAAUAGCUACAUGGCACAGAGAAAGAUGGAAUACUUACCAAUUCACUUACGAAGUGAGCAAAACUAAAACCAUCAUAUAACAUUUUAACAAAAACCAUCAAACAAACUCUCCACCAAAACGAAUAAAAACAAAACUCUUCAGAUGCAACUGACACUGACUUGGGAAGACAAAUUUAAAAUGAGUGGAAAUACUAUGAAAUUAAAUUCUUAAUACCUUACAUUAAAUUAAAUAAUUAAAUUGAAAUCUUAAAGACUAUAAUCAGACCAUGUAAGGUUUACCAUAGAAAUGUAAGGAAUGGUUUAUUAAUGGGAAAUCUAUAAAGAAAAAAUUAUAUAAUCAUCUUAGCAGAUGAUACCCACUUGUGAUUUAAAAUAUUGUAAAGUAGGAAAAGAGAGUAGUUCCUUAACAGUACUUAUACAAAUAGUCACUGGAGACAUACUGUAGUAGAGUGUUCCCAUUAGAACUGGAAAUACGAUAACAAUAUAUUACCUUCAGUAUUUACAAUUAUUUAAUAGUAUUGUCUUCACUUUUAAAUAUUUUCCUGGAAGUUGUAGCCAUUGAAAUAAGAUAGGAAACAAACAAAAGACAGUGUGAUAAUUAAUUUUAGGUGUCAACUUGGCUGGGCUAUGGAGCUGAGAUGUUUGGUCAAACACCAGUGUAGAUGUUGCUCUGAAAAUAUUUUUUAGAUAUUAAUUUAAAUUAGUAGACUUUGAGGAAAACAGAUUAUCCCUCAUAAUGUGGGUGGGUUUCAGCCAAUCAGGCUUUAAGAGAAAAGACCUAGUUCCCUUGAGGGAGAAGAAAUUCUGCCUCCACACUGCCUUUGGACUUGAGACUGCAACAUCAGCUCCUUCCUGGGUCUCUAGCCUGCUGGCCUGUCCUGCAUAUGUUGAAUUUUCCAGCUCCAGAAUUAUGUGAGCCAAUUUCUUAAAAUACAGUCUCUGUACACACACACACACACACACACACACACACACACACACACACACACACACACAGCCCCUAUUGGUUCUGUUUUUCUCUGGAGAACUCUAAUACAUACAGCAACAACAGCUAACACCUAUUGAAUGCUUUCUAUGUGCCAGGCAAUGUUUUGAGGGCUAUACAUGUAUGUAUUAACUCAUUUAAUCCUCACAAUAACCCUAAAAAGUAGUGCUGUUUUUGUCCUUAUUAAAAACUAAUUAGAAUGAAAUAUUCUGAGGAUUCGUAAGAAUAUCUGGGCAAAUUAAAGGAGAAGAACCAAAAGCCUCCAGUUUCUACCCCAUACCCUUUUACUUUUAGGCAGCAACUCCAACUGUCUCAUUCUGGCUAAGGUUUACCAGUACUCUGGGACCUUGCAUUGGUGAUGAAAUUAAUCCUGCUAUCCUGGUGGUAGUCAGUUGAGUUGGACACAGGCUGGGAAGCAAUCAUAUUCAGGAACUUCUGUAGAGAUUGAACUUGUACUCUGAUGAUGCUGUAUUAGUUUCCUAUUGCGUUUGUAACAAAUUACAGUACCACAAACUUAGAGGCUUACCAUUCUGGAGGUCAGACGUCCUAAAACCGAGGUGUCAGCAGGGCUGAGUUUUAGGGAAGAGUGUUUCCUUCCAGCUUCCAAAGGCUACCUAUACUCCUCGGCCCAUAGCCCUUUCUCCACCUUGAAAGUGAGUAGUAGGCCAUCUUCAAAUUUCUCUGACCUCGGCUUUCAUUGUCCAUGACCUCUCUGAUUCUGACCCUCUUCCUUCCCUGUUAUAAGAGCCAUUAUGAUGACUUUGAACUCACCUGGAUAUUCCACAAUUAUCUCUCUUCUCAAGAUCUAUAACUUAAUCACAUCUGCAAACUUCCUUUUGCCAGGGAAGGUAAUGUAUUCACAGGUUUCAGGGAUUAGCCUCUGGACAUCUUUGGAGGGAUCAUUAUUCUGUCUAUCAUACAUACCACGCAUAGGUGAAAGACCCCAGCAUCUCUUUCCUAUGGAGAAGUAUGCAUGUAAUGGAUCAAAAAAAUAAAAAUGAAAAAUAAAAAAUAAAAAAAGCUGGCUUCUCAAACUCAUAUUAUUAUCCUGAAAAAUAUGUCAACUUUCAGUGUUUUCCUGUUCCUGGUUUUCUGGGGGCAAACCUGCAGCACAACCCAG